GACCUCGGAUCAGGUAGGGAUACCCGCUGAACU
rnacentral:rRNA from 3 species